CCAUCCGCCGUGAUGGGCCGUUACCACCCUCUAAAGGAGCCCGGGAAGAAGGGAUGCGGCCCCAGCGGGGACUGCACAGAACUGAGCGCACAGCCGUCGUCUAGACCAGCGUAACUGUCCGGAGCUCUGCAGAGGGGUACCGAAAUGUGGGAAGAGUGACUACACUUUCCCAAGCCGUGGUUUAGAAUGUCUGGGGGAUUGUGAAAUCGGCUUGGUGGAUGGAGUCCCCGACUUUUUUUUUUUUAAUGAAAGGGAAGAAUAGAACACAGUAGAGAAAUCUGAGUGCAUCUCGUGUGACGGAGUUGUUCCGAUAAAUUUUUACUCCAGGCUUGAAUCUGUCUGCCCCGGGGAGUGAUGCAAAAUGUAUUUCUUAAUAUAAAUCUUACCAAACGAAAAGCUUGAGAAACACUGUUCUUUGCAAAGAAACAUUUAAACACAACAGGCGUGCAUUGUAUUAGUGCUGGCCUUACUCCCGGAAUUAGAAGGGCGUUACAGAUUACAGCAUUCUUCUGUCGGGCCCUGGAAUACAGAAAUCCUUAUCCUUAGCAUUUAGACUAGCAUGUGUACAGUGCCUAGCGAGUCCCUGUCCUCAGCUGAGGAAACCAGAGAAAAGCAAGUGUGUCAGAAAGUAAGAACAUAAACCUCGCAUAAUACACACACAUUAAGUAGCCCACAUUAACGUAACCCACAAAACAAUUUACUCAGUGUCUUCUCUAAAAAUAGGUAGUUGCCUAACACAGAUUACAAAAAUCACAAGGACCCCAGAUAUAGUAGUAUAUGGGUGUGUGUGCGUGUAGCUGUGUUCAACUGUCUAAAUUUUGCUAAAGUAAAACUUACAAAUUCGUCAUUUGCUAUGUUGAUACUUUCAUUAUCUCUUUAACAGGUAAUUAGGUCUAUUGGGCACCGAGAAUACGAUGAUGAACAAAUCACAGUCUCUAUUCUACAGAGGCUGGUAGAGAAGAAAAAACAUGAAAAAAGAAUUAUAAAUGUGGAAAGUACCACAAUAGGGGUAUGCACAAGGCACUGGGACAGCACAAAAGAAAAAGGUGCUUCAUUUUGAAAUUUUCAGUUAAGGUUUGAUACAGAAGGUGAUUUUGUAGCUGAGUCGGAAAGGACCAAGGGAGUCACUUGGGAAGACAAGAGAGGAAGUGGGGAAAUUACUAACUUCACUAAUAAAUUGCACAGUACUAUGAAAGUGUUAGGAACCUUGGGAUAAAAUGACUGUAUCAUCUUGGAGUUUGUAGCAGUAAAGGAAAUGCAGCAUGCAAGAUUAGUGCAAAAUAUAUCUAUUUAGUAAAUUGAUUAUAUUUCAAAGGAAAGAUAUUUAGGAAGUAGACUAUAGGUGAAAGAUAAGAAUGACUCACUGGACAAGAUAUUCCAAAAGGUACCCUUGUUCAAGAAGCAUGAGUGAUUCUUAAAAAAUGAAAUUAGGUAAUAUGAGCUCAAAUAAUUUUGCUGCUCAUAAAGCCCAUUAGAUAAAGACCAUCAGGAGCAAACCUGUAACCCAGCAAGGUUAGGUUUAUUGCCACAGCAAACACCACCACACAGCAGAGGAACCGUGCGCAUGUCUCCAAAAAACAGAAGAAAUGGGGAUCAUUAUAGUGUUGGGGGAAGGGAAGAGUUUAGGUAGAUUCUAAAUGAAAUAGUGCUUAACAGACUCAGAGCAAAUCAGAUCUGUGUGCAAAGGGAUUAAUAUCAAAGCUGGGUGAGAAUCAGACUAAAGACUCUAUUUCCUUGAAAGAUAAAUUUAAGAUUAAUGUAGAAUAUUGUGUCUCCAGGCGCCUUAUCUGAACCUCUGCACUGAAAAUUGAGGCUGCUUCUCUAAGUUAAAGUGGCUUGGGUGGUUUACAUCCUCCAGGCAAGAAAGGAAUGUUCUGUUCCUACUAAUAUGAGUUCCAGACAAUGAAGUUUCCAUCAACCUAGGAUUUUAGAAAGUUCCUUAGCACUGUGUCCUUUGAUGACUACCCAAAGCAAUUUUUCAGAUUCACACUUUACAAUACUAAAUAAUUAAGAAAAAAUGUGAUUUUUAUUGGGAGAUCUCAAGGAGCUUUAAUUUUUAAAGAAUCUGAACUGCUAACAAGGGAGAGGAGACCGGUAUAUGGAGUUAGGGAAUGUAGGAAGCCUCUUGAAGAGAUGUUGUGUCAGCCAGCCUCCAACACUGUCCCUAAUAAUCCUUGCUUCCUGGUGUUCAUGCCUUUGUGUAAUCUCCCUCAUGUGAGGGCUGAUCUGUGUGCACAAGGGAGUACAGCAGAGGUGACGGUAUGUGACCCCUGAGACCCUUGAGCACUGUGGCUCCCGCCUUGGUCUCCUGAAUUGCUUGCUCUCAGGGAAGCCAGCUGCCACACAGAACAGUCAGACAGCCCUGGGGAAGACUCGAGGACACCCACCAGGAGCCAGCUCCGCGUUGCUAGCCUUGGGAGCAGGUCUUGCGUCCCCAGUCAAGCCUUAGGUGCCUGCAGCCUCAUAAACAACCCCGAGCCCAAACACUCGCCGCAGGUGUUGCACUCCUGACUCACACCCACUGUGGGAGAUAAUAAGUGCUGAUCAUUGUUCUCAGCUAUGAAAUUUUGGGGUCAUUUGUUCUACAACUGAUGUGACUUGAUCCAAGCCUUAAAAAACAGGUAGACAAAAGGGGCUUUAGGAGAAGAUGUAAUAGGGACAAAGCUAUUGAGACAAGAAGGUACAAAGCAGAUUCUGGAAGACGAUCAAGUCUGGUGUGGAUGGAGGUUCGAGAAGAGGUGUGAGAUGGAGAAAAGGAUGAAAUGUUUCAUGGAAGUCAACUUGUGGAAGAUCUGAAACACCAAGUUAACCAGAGUUGGUGUAUCCUCAGACCCUGCAGAGUGUUGGCACAGAGCAGACACUACCUGCAUAGGAGACCUUGGAUGAAGCUGGGGAUCUUCUGACCUGGCAUCCAGCUAACCUGGUACACUGUGCAGUUAAAGAACCCUGCUCUCCUCCAUACUUGGGCAGGAUCUAUUUAUUCUCUUUAAACCCCAGUCUUAGUUUAAGCUUUAACAGUCAAAAGUCAUGAAGCCACCCUACCAAGCCCUGCUGAAGCGGUGAAGCAUAAAGCUUGCUCCGGGAACGGGAAAGGAAAAGGGAAAAUGAUAGGGGGAAAACAUACACUGGCAUCUCAAGAAAUUAUCCCGCUACACAUGCAUGGGGAACCUACCUACAGGAAAUUCAAAAAAAAAAUCACUGAAGGAGAAACCAGAUACCAAUGAAAGUGGUGGCACAGAAGAGUGGGAGGAAGUAGCGUGGAAAGAAUGUGAAGAGAGUAUCACUUCUCUGAGGACAUUUUUUGACUUGUGAAAUUAUGUUUAUGUUCUACAUUCUCAAAAAUUAAAUUCAACCACUGAGAAUGGGGGGAAAAAUGAAAAACUGAAAGCAAAAAACCCCCAAAUUAACCUUUCAAAUGAAUACCAUAACCACAUUGGAAAAAGAAUAAGGAAAGAAAGAGUCAAGGAAGGAAAGAAGGAAGGAAGGAAGGGAAAGAAGAAAGGAAGCCAAUAACUAAUAAAGAAACAUUUGAGUACACACCCUCUGUCUUGGGCAGGGCGGAGGGUAGGAAAGAAUUGCAAGUGAAUCCUCAGCCCGUUUUACAGAUUUGUUCAUUGUAGUAGUAAGGGCAAAUACUGAAGCUGUUUUAGGAUAUAUUAUAGGAUUGAACAGAUGUAUUGAUGUUCUUGGGAGCUAGAGAGCUCACAGAGGAAGAAGGGACAUACAAAUACAGAUUGGAAGAAGACAAGACAGAACCCUGAGAGGAUGGAUUGGAACUGGAUGUCUCAGUAACAGCUUAUGGAAGGAAAGGGGAGAGGACGGAAGAGGAGGAGGAGCUGCCGGACACCCCUGGGUAGGUGCUGCCUCCGUGGCGAAGCUUCGCGGGGUGGCCUGGAGAACAAGGUUGGAUGCAGUGUUUCUGUGAAGCAGCCCCGAGCGAGAAGCGCCUGCGAGUAACUGCAGUCGGUGUUCUGGUAAAGGAUGAACGUUAGAGUUCACUGUGGAGAUUCUGUCGUCAGGUCCAAGGGGGGGAAAGGGAAAGACUGAGUAAUUACUAGAGCUUCCGUACACAGUAGUGUAUCUCAUUUUAUUCCCGAACCAGCCCUGCGAGACACAUACUAUCAGCCUCCUUCUACAGCUGGGGAAACUAAAGCUACGGGACACAAAGGAACUUGCCCAGGGUCACACAGUCAGUAACUGGAGAAGACAGAAUUGGAACCUAGCUGAAUGUGCCCUCCGAGUUUGCGCUCUUAACCACAACACAAAAAGUCGGCAGCUGCGCAGACACAGGAACCAAGAAGACAAAGAAAGGAUAGGCAGGAAUACUGUGGGAGGGAGCAGCGUUUGCCUCUGGUGCCUGAGAUUCACUGCUAAUGGCUGCAACCACACACACCUACAGAAGCAGUUUGUCCCCAAUUCCAGGGCCAAUUUUCCAGCCAGCUCUGUCCUGUGCAGGCCUGGAGUUCGGCAGAGUCGAGGCUGCUUGGAUGGAGAUUGGGAACCCUUCCACCACGACAGAGUGGUGUCUGGAAGGGGUGUGCUGCUCUCAGACCUGCCGGCAAGAGUACUGUUUCUACACUGGCUAAAACAACUGAAAAACUAGAGAAGAACAAACUGAUUUUCAAAGCCUCGUGUUCCUUGGGUUACCCUUCCCAACUUCCCUGUCGCAGGUGGCAUCUAAUGUGCCUUCCCCAGAAGCUAUCUCGUGUCCAAGCUCUGCUCCCCCCCCGUGCCAUCUUCCUCUCUCCUCCUCUGUGAAGACUUGCCCCUUUAAAACCGGAUCCUCUGAGGAUCCAAAUGCAAAACUCCUAAUUCUGUUUCUAAAUUAACUGGAGGAAAUAAACUAGAAGGAAAGAUUAAAGUAGCAACUGCCCUUGAUUUUUCAUAAUAGACAAACAUACUCUAAAAUUCUUAGGAGAAAACUUGCUUUCUAUUUCUGUCAGUCUGUUUGUUGAAGCUUUUUGGUAAGUCACCCAUUCUGUUCAAAAGGGGGAAAUUUUGUUUUAAAUAAAAUUUAAGUUAAGGGGCACUCUUAAAUUAGAA